AACGAACGCUGGCGGCAUGCCUAACACAUGCAAGUCGAACGAGACCUUCGGGUCUAGUGGCGCACGGGUGCGUAACGCGUGGGAACCUGCCCUUAGGUUCGGAAUAACUCCCCGAAAGGGGUGCUAAUACCGGGUAAUGUCUUCGGACCAAAGAUUUUUCGCCUUUGGAUGGGCCCGCGUUGGAUUAGCUAGUUGGUAGGGUAAAAGCCUACCAAGGCGACGAUCCAUAGCUGGUCUGAGAGGAUGAUCAGCCACACUGGGACUGAGACACGGCCCAGACUCCUACGGGAGGCAGCAGUGGGGAAUAUUGGACAAUGGGCGAAAGCCUGAUCCAGCAAUGCCGCGUGAGUGAUGAAGGCCUUAGGGUUGUAAAGCUCUUUUACCCGGGAUGAUAAUGACAGUACCGGGAGAAUAAGCUCCGGCUAACUCCGUG
rnacentral:rRNA from 1 species